GAAGAGAAGAGAAGAGAAGAGAAGAGAAGAGAGGGAAGAGAGAAAAGAAAGGAUUCAAUAACAAGAGAAGGAACGGAAAAAAUGCAAUCGACAGAGGGAACCACCAAAAUUCGACCAACACCCAAAAGGAAAAAGAGAUGAGCAAAAAUGAAAAGGAAAAAAACAAAUAUUCGACACCCAAAAACGAAAAGGCAAAAACGAAAAACUAACCAAAACCAAACUGAGAGAAGAAAAACAACUUUAGAAAUCGAUUCUCUCAGUGCCUACUGACCAAAUUCGGCACAAGUACACCCCCCAGCCUAAACCUCUAGUAAGAGUUUUCCCCAAAC
rnacentral:lncRNA from 1 species